UUAAUGAGCUUGCGUGUUGCACUGUUUACGUUUCAGUCGUCAGAAGAACCCUAUAGUUAACGAAGCUACUCUACGUUUCCUUAAUGUGUAGUUAAGUGAUGCGUGAGGGUGUUUUCAAGAAGUUAACGCGAAGUUAAAGAGAAGUCUAGGUCCUACGAACGGGAAUGACUCUGGGAACUUUCUGUUGCUGCUUCAGCAUGUUUUUCAUCUGUGAUACCCGACAAGGAUUAGCUGUUUCCAUUUGAACUACUUGUGUUACCCACUGAAUUUCUGCUCCUUGACGAGAGGACUGCUCCAGACAGACUGUCUCCGCCCCAGCCAGAGGAUGAGACAUCUUACCUGACCAGGAAGCGUUCUGCUACCAAAGAAGCCCCCGCAUCCAGAGCCAAGCAGCCCAGGUUGGCCAGUGCAAGAGCCUGGUUCCUCUGAUUUCCACUCUCCCUGGAGAUUACCAAGGCCGAGUGGAGAUGCCAGCCUGCCUCUUGGAUGCAACCCUGCCGUCUUAGACACAGAGCCAAGAGGUUGUGGAUCACGCCUCGCUGUGUGGGGCUGUCUGUACCCUGGAGAAACACAUAUUUCAAAUAAGAAACACCAAGAAGAGAGCUGUUUUAUCAUUCUUCUAUAAAAGCUGAUGAUUUUACAAAAUGAUUAACAUUGUUUCCUCUACCUGGAGUGAUGUGAGCAGUGGUUGUAGGACAAUUUGGGCUUUCUCAGCCUGGCCUGUCAACACCAGCAGCCACCCAAGUAGCACAGAGGCCUCAAAGCCCUCCUCCUCGUUGAUGUGGUCUCCAGUUUCCACAGCUUUCUGAGCACAGUACACUGCUUUAUCCAGAGCAUCAUACUGCUGAUAGACUGAAGCCAAGCCCUGACACAGAUCCCUCUGAGUCUUCAUAUUCUCCCCUCGCUCAGCAAUAGCCAGAGCCUGCUGAAGGUAAAUUACAAUCUGAGCAGGGAGCAGGGAGGUUCCUUCUUUCCAGCAUGGAUUCAGACGUACAGAGUUCUUGAUGAACAGCUCAAUCCGCUGGAAAGCAUCAUGAAGGGGGUGAUCUUGUCUAGAGUCCAGGCUAAGGGAGGCCAGGGCCAGGUAAGGCAUGUAUUUACGAUGAUAAAGCCCGCUCAAGAGCCAGUUAAGAUCCAGAGGAACUAUAGGAGGCCCCUCGACUCCAGAGAUAGUCACUGAGAGAAACUGAAGUCGUUCAACAAAAGGAAGAGCGUCGUCCAUCUUCCUGAGGAGCAGGAAGAGGCUGGAGAUGAGGUAGCAGACACGAGCCUCCAGGUGUUUGUCCCCCAUCACUACAGAUCUCCUCAGGAGCAGCUUCAGCAGCUCAAACUCAUCUGUGGAGGUGAAGGUGUGGCAGGGGAGGCAGAGGAGCAGGGCACUGGCCUUCUCCAGAGUCUGAGGGAGCUUGUCGAUCAUUCGCUGCUUCAGGUAAACGGCAGUGAGGUUUGUGUAGAGAGCGAUGAGGAACGGAGUGUCAGAGAAGCAGUCCACUUGAACACUGAGGGCCUCCUCAUAGUACACACGAGCCUGAGGAGAGGAGGAAACACAGAUAUCGUCAAAUAAAUAAAGAAAGAAAGAAAGAACAGAAGCCCACCAACACAAACACCUCACAUAUUUAUACUAGAAAUGAAGAACAAACCUGGGAGAACUUCAGCUUUCGUGCACAGAGUCGCCCCAAGAGGAAGCAAGCCCGUCGAUGUGCCCAGUGCAUCCCCAUCCUCUUAGCGCACUCUCUGACGCUCUCCAGAUGCCCGGAGAGAUCCUCCUCAGCUUUACCACUGAAGGUCAACCACAGGAAGGAGUAGUGCAGGUCGUACAGGGGCAGGAAGUCCUCCUGGAGGAAACAACAAACAAAAGAUUUGAGAGGGGUCUCUCAGCAGGCUGUAUGUGUACGGAAUCAGGACUGACUCAAUUGUGCUUAUUUUUGUUUGAGCUGUCAAACCUUUAGUUACUUUUGGUGAGGUGGAUUGCUUUUGGAUUUGUAAUUGUGUUUAAUUAGCAAUUGAAGUUCUGUAUGUAAAAGCAGUUACAUUUCCAGAAACUUCAAACAGCAGCCAAAUCAUUCAACUGAAAUUAUGAAGAAAUUCAGAUAAACUAUUCAAGUCCUGCUUUUGCCCUGUAGUAAGUAUCUCUGCUGACCUGGAAGUGUUCCUGGUUUAGCAGGGUCAGUAUGGGGUCACUGAUCUCCGAGUCCUCCCCCUCCCAGCUGCUGUCCUCCAAGAAGAGUGGUGGGUCUUCCUGGAACUCGUCCAGCUCCCUGAAUGUGUCGUCCAACGUGAAAGACAAGCGCUCUCCCUCUUGUGGCAGAGGAUUGUGGGAGUGAUAUAUGGACAAGCGGGGAUGGGAGUGAGAGACUGAGGUGCGAGGGGAGGAGGUGUAGGGGGGUGUCCCGCCGCUGGCGUCCGACAUAACGCUCUGACGGGUGCUUGUGGAGACUUUGUGCCCUGAGAAGAAGACAAAGACAGUCAGUUGUGUUUCAAAUUGGAGCAGAGAGGUCAGAGUACAGAUUUAGUUUGAAAAAUUAACAUCUGAUUUCUUAAUAAAUGGGGAGGUAUUACCAUGUUUUGGCCGA